GUUGACCCGUGAUCCGGGUUGCGGACAGUGUCUGGUGGGUAGUUUGACUGGGGCGGUCUCCUCCUAAAGAGUAACGGAGGAGCACGAAGGUUGGCUAAUCCUGGUCGGACAUCAGGAGGUUAGUGCAAUGGCAUAAGCCAGCUUGACUGCGAGCGUGACGGCGCGAGCAGGUGCGAAAGCAGGUCAUAGUGAUCCGGUGGUUCUGAAUGGAAGGGCCAUCGCUCAACGGAUAAAAGGUACUCCGGGGAUAACAGGCUGAUACCGCCCAAGAGUUCAUAUCGACGGCGGUGUUUGGCACCUCGAUGUCGGCUCAUCACAUCCUGGGGCUGAAGUAGGUCCCAAGGGUAUGGCUGUUCGCCAUUUAAAGUGGUACGCGAGCUGGGUUUAGAACGUCGUGAGACAGUUCGGUCCCUA
rnacentral:rRNA from 1 species